rnacentral:rRNA from 1 species
GGGUUGUGAGGUUAAGCGACUAAGCGUACACGGUGGAUGCCCUGGCAGUCAGAGGCGAUGAAGGACGUGCUAAUCUGCGAAAAGCGUCGGUAAGGUGAUAUGAACCGUUAUAACCGGCGAUGUCCGAAUGGGGAAACCCAGUGUGAUUCGUCACACUAUCGUUAACUGAAUACAUAGGUUAACGAGGCGAACCGGGGGAACUGAAACAUCUAAGUACCCCGAGGAAAAGAAAUCAACCGAGAUUCCCCCAGUAGCGGCGAGCGAACGGGGAGCAGCCCAGAGUCUGAAUCAGCUUGUGUGUUAGUGGAACGGUCUGGAAAGUCCGACGGUACAGGGUGAUAGUCCCGUACACCAAAAUGCACAGGCUGUGAACUCGAAGAGUAGGGCGGGACACGUGGUAUCCUGUCUGAAUAUGGGGGGACCAUCCUCCAAGGCUAAAUACUCCUGACUGACCGAUAGUGAACCAGUACCGUGAGGGAAAGGCGAAAAGAACCCCGGCGAGGGGAGUGAAAAAGAACCUGAAACCGUGUACGUACAAGCAGUGGGAGCACCUUCGGGUGUGACUGCGUACCUUUUGUAUAAUGGGUCAGCGACUUAUAUUCUGUAGCAAGGUUAACCGUAUAGGGGAGCCGCAGGGAAACCGAGUCUUAACUGGGCGUUAAGUUGCAGGGUAUAGACCCGAAACCCGGUGAUCUAGCCAUGGGCAGGUUGAAGGUUGGGUAACACUAACUGGAGGACCGAACCGACUAAUGUUGAAAAAUUAGCGGAUGACUUGUGGCUGGGGGUGAAAGGCCAAUCAAACCGGGAGAUAGCUGGUUCUCCCCGAAAGCUAUUUAGGUAGCGCCUCGUGAAUUCAUCUUCGGGGGUAGAGCACUGUUUCGGCUAGGGGGUCAUCCCGACUUACCAACCCGAUGCAAACUACGAAUACCGAAGAAUGUUAUCACGGGAGACACACGGCGGGUGCUAACGUCCGUCGUGAAGAGGGAAACAACCCAGACCGCCAGCUAAGGUCCCAAAGUCAUGGUUAAGUGGGAAACGAUGUGGGAAGGCACAGACAGCCAGGAUGUUGGCUUAGAAGCAGCCAUCAUUUAAAGAAAGCGUAAUAGCUCACUGGUCGAGUCGGCCUGCGCGGAAGAUGUAACGGGGCUAAACCAUGCACCGAAGCUGCGGCAGCGACACUAUGUGUUGUUGGGUAGGGGAGCGUUCUGUAAGCCUGCGAAGGUGACCUGUGAGGGUUGCUGGAGGUAUCAGAAGUGCGAAUGCUGACAUAAGUAACGAUAAAGCGGGUGAAAAGCCCGCUCGCCGGAAGACCAAGGGUUCCUGUCCAACGUUAAUCGGGGCAGGGUGAGUCGACCCCUAAGGCGAGGCCGAAAGGCGUAGUCGAUGGGAAACAGGUUAAUAUUCCUGUACUUGGUGUUACUGCGAAGGGGGGACGGAGAAGGCUAUGUUAGCCGGGCGACGGUUGUCCCGGUUUAAGCAUGUAGGCUGGUUGUCCAGGCAAAUCCGGAUAAUCAAGGCUGAGGUGUGAUGACGAGGCACUACGGUGCUGAAGUAACAAAUGCCCUGCUUCCAGGAAAAGCCUCUAAGCAUCAGGUAACAUCAAAUCGUACCCCAAACCGACACAGGUGGUCAGGUAGAGAAUACCAAGGCGCUUGAGAGAACUCGGGUGAAGGAACUAGGCAAAAUGGUGCCGUAACUUCGGGAGAAGGCACGCUGGUGUGUAGGUGAAGUCCCUGCGGAUGGAGCUGAGACCAGUCGAAGAUACCAGCUGGCUGCAACUGUUUAUUAAAAACACAGCACUGUGCAAACACGAAAGUGGACGUAUACGGUGUGACGCCUGCCCGGUGCCGGAAGGUUAAUUGAUGGGGUUAUCCGUAAGGAGAAGCUCUUGAUCGAAGCCCCGGUAAACGGCGGCCGUAACUAUAACGGUCCUAAGGUAGCGAAAUUCCUUGUCGGGUAAGUUCCGACCUGCACGAAUGGCGUAAUGAUGGCCAGGCUGUCUCCACCCGAGACUCAGUGAAAUUGAACUCGCUGUGAAGAUGCAGUGUACCCGCGGCAAGACGGAAAGACCCCGUGAACCUUUACUAUAGCUUGACACUGAACAUUGAGCCUUGAUGUGUAGGAUAGGUGGGAGGCUUUGAAGCGUGGACGCCAGUCUGCGUGGAGCCAACCUUGAAAUACCACCCUUUAAUGUUUGAUGUUCUAACGUUGGCCCCUGACCGGGGUUGCGGACAGUGUCUGGUGGGUAGUUUGACUGGGGCGGUCUCCUCCCAAAGCGUAACGGAGGAGCACGAAGGUUAGCUAAUCCUGGUCGGACAUCAGGAGGUUAGUGCAAUGGCAUAAGCUAGCUUGACUGCGAGCGUGACGGCGCGAGCAGGUGCGAAAGCAGGUCAUAGUGAUCCGGUGGUUCUGAAUGGAAGGGCCAUCGCUCAACGGAUAAAAGGUACUCCGGGGAUAACAGGCUGAUACCGCCCAAGAGUUCAUAUCGACGGCGGUGUUUGGCACCUCGAUGUCGGCUCAUCACAUCCUGGGGCUGAAGUAGGUCCCAAGGGUAUGGCUGUUCGCCAUUUAAAGUGGUACGCGAGCUGGGUUUAGAACGUCGUGAGACAGUUCGGUCCCUAUCUGCCGUGGGCGCUGGAGAAUUGAGGGGGGCUGCUCCUAGUACGAGAGGACCGGAGUGGACGCAUCACUGGUGUUCGGGUUGUCAUGCCAAUGGCACUGCCCGGUAGCUAAAUGCGGAAGAGAUAAGUGCUGAAAGCAUCUAAGCACGAAACUUGCCCCGAGAUGAGUUCUCCCUGAGACUUUAAGUCUCCUGAAGGAACGUUGAAGACGACGACGUUGAUAGGCCGGGUGUGUAAGCGCAGCGAUGCGUUGAGCUAACCGGUACUAAUGAACCGUGAGGCUUAACCUUACAACGCCGAAG